rnacentral:rRNA from 1 species
AUUGAACGCUGGCGGCAUGCCUUACACAUGCAAGUCGAACGGUAACGCGGGGCAACCUGGCGACGAGUGGCGAACGGGUGAGUAAUACAUCGGAACGUGCCCAGUAGUGGGGGAUAGCCCGGCGAAAGCCGGAUUAAUACCGCAUACGACCUACGGGUGAAAGCAGGGGAUCGCAAGACCUUGCGCUAUUGGAGCGGCCGAUGUCAGAUUAGGUUGUUGGUGGGGUAAAAGCCUACCAAGCCGACGAUCUGUAGCUGGUCUGAGAGGACGACCAGCCACACUGGGACUGAGACACGGCCCAGACUCCUACGGGAGGCAGCAGUGGGGAAUUUUGGACAAUGGGCGCAAGCCUGAUCCAGCCAUGCCGCGUGCGGGAAGAAGGCCU